rnacentral:misc_RNA from 1 species
GGAAAUACAAGCUAGGGUUUUGGGUUUAGAAGCAAAGCUUUAGUUUAAGAAAGAAAAUGGAGGGUGCAGAUGAAGGUGGGAUAGAGAGAGUUGUUGAUUCGAAGGACUUGCAGCAACAAAGCAAAGCUCUUGAUAAGCUCACUGAUCGUGUCGAAGAUCGCCAGCUUGAUUCCACUCGUGUUCAAGAGGCUAUGGCAUCCAUUGCUGCUUCUGCAGAAGCCGAUUGGAAUGCUAUGAGAAUGAGGGAGAAAGAAUUGGCUGCUGUUAAAAUCAAUGCUGCUGAUGUUGACAUAAUUGCCAAUGAACUAGAGUUGGACAAGAAGGUUGCAGAGAGAACCUUGAGGGAGCAUAAAGGUGAUGCUGUUGCUGCAAUUCAACAUCUUCUCCGCUAGAUUACUGUUGUGAUGAAUCAUCAUUGUGUUUCAAAUUUGUUGAGAAUGAUAGGGAAACUCUUGGAAUGUGAACAAGAAAGUUCAAUUAUCAUCCAGAGAAAACUUUUGCAACCUACACAACUAAACAUUCCUUUUUUUAUUUUAUAACAGCAACAGGUCGAAUAUUAUAACCAUGCCGAUUGUAACUAUUAUAUUAUGGGGUGUUUAUGGUU